rnacentral:rRNA from 1 species
GGCGAACGCUGGCGGCGUGCUUAACACAUGCAAGUCGAACGGUAAGGCCCUUCGGGGUACACGAGUGGCGAACGGGUGAGUAACACGUGGGUGAUCUGCCCUGCACCUCGGGAUAAGCCUGGGAAACUGGGUCUAAUACCGGAUAGGACCCUGGGAUGCAUGUCCUGGGGUGGAAAGCUUUUGCGGUGUGGGAUGGGCCCGCGGGCUAUCAGCUUGUUGGCGGGGUGAUGGCCUACCAAGGCGACGACGGGCAGCCGGCCUGAGAGGGUGACCGGCCACACGGGGACUGAGAUCCGGCCAAUGCUCCAACGGUGGGCAGCAGGGGUGAAUAUUGCACAAUGGGCGCAAGCCUGAUGCAGCGACGCCGCGUGAGGGAUGGCGGCCUUCGGGUUGUAAACCUCUUUCAGCACCGACGAAGCGCAAGUGACGGUAGGUGCAGAAGAAGGACCGGACAACUACGUGCCAGCCGCCGCCGUAA